GAUGAACGCUGGCGGCGUGCUUAACACAUGCAAGUCGAGCGGGCCGUAGCAAUACGGUCAGCGGCAAACGGGUGCGUAACACGUAAGUAAUCUUCCCCUAAGACCGGCACAACCAGCCGAAAGGUUGGCUAAUUCCGGAUGUGACAGUUGGGACUAAUGUCCCGGCUAUUAAAUGGAACGCAAGGACCGCUUGGGGAUGAGCUUGCGGCCUAUCAGCUAGUUGGUGGGGUAAUGGCCUACCAAGGCGAUGACGGGUAGCUGGUCUGAGAGGACGACCAGCCACACUUGCACUGAGACACGGGCAAGACUCCUACGGGUGGCAG
rnacentral:rRNA from 1 species